AGACAGUUAGUAUAACAAAACGUUUGAUUUCGACUCAAAAAAUUGUGGUUCAACCCCACAACUGGCUU
rnacentral:tRNA from 1 species